rnacentral:rRNA from 1 species
UACGAAGGGUGCAAGCGUUGUUCGGAAUUACUGGGCGUAAAGCGCGCGUAGGCGGGUCAGUAAGUCGAUUGUGAAAGCCCUGGGCUUAACCUGGGAAUGGCAGUCGAAACUACUGAUCUUGAGUGCCUGAGAGGAUGGCGGAAUUCCCGGUGUAGUAGUGAAAUACGUAGAUAUCGGGAAGAACACCUGAGGCGAAGGCGGCUAUCUGGCGGUGCACUGACGCUGAUGCGCGAAAGCGUGGGGAGCAAACAGG